GAUGAAGAACGUAGCGAAAUGCGAUAAGUAAUGUGAAUUGCAGAAUCCAGUGAAUCAUCGAAUCUUUGAACGCACAUUGCGCCCGCCAGCAUUCUGGCGGGCAUGCCUGUUCGAGCGUCAUUUCAACCCUCGACCUCCCCUUGGGGAGGUCGGCGUUGUGGACCGGCAGCACACCGCCGGCCCUGAAAUGGAGUGGCGGCCCGUCUGCGGCGACCUCUGCGUAGUAAUACAGCUCGCACCGGAACCCCGACGCGGCCACGCCGUAAAACACCCAACUUCUGAACGUUGACCUCGAAUCAGGUAGGACUACCCGCUGAACUUAAGCAUAUCAAUAAGCGGAGGA
rnacentral:misc_RNA from 1 species